UACAUAGGUGGCAAGCGUUGGCCGGAAUUAUUGGGCGUAAAGCGCGCGUAGGCGGUCCUUUAAGUCUGAUGUGAAAGCCCACGGCUCAACCGUGGAGGGUCAUUGGAAACUGGGGGACUUGAGUGCAGAAGAGGAGAGUGGAAUUCCACGUGUAGCGGUGAAAUGCGUAGAGAUGUGGAGGAACACCAGUGGCGAAGGCGACUCUCUGGUCUGUAACUGACGCUGAGGCGCGAAAGCGUGGGGAGCGAACAGG
rnacentral:rRNA from 1 species